rnacentral:lncRNA from 10 species
GUUUCAUACAGGGAGUACCAAAUCAUUUGCAAAAUGCUUUAAAACACCCAGAGCCACACAGAGAGCCACACAGAAUACUGCUGGCUCUAUUUGUCUUGGGGUUCCACAGUCAUCUUAACACUUGAGGGUUUAGAGAAAUGUCCUCUUUCUCUUUCCUUUUAAAGUCUUUUUCUUCUUCCAUCUUCAUCUGGGACACCUAGCACUAUUCCUACAAUGGUCUCAGAUCAAGGAUGUCAGGAAUGAAGGGGAAAUAAAGACCCUCUCAGAUGAAGAAACACUAAGAGAAUUUGUCACCAGUAGACCAUUCCUAAAGGAAGUCCCUGAAACAGAAAGGAAGUGAUUAAAGAAAGAAUCUUGGAACAUCAAAAAGAAAUAACAGGAAGAACAGAAAUAUGGGGAGAAGACAGUUGUUGACAAUCCAGGAAGCAGGCCUUCAUCAGACAACAAAUCUUCUGGCACUUUGAUUUUGGACUUCCCAGUCUCUAGAACCAUGAGAAAUAAACAUCUGUUGUUUAUAAUCUACUCAGUUUAUGGUAGUUUGUUAUAUCAGCCUGAACGGACUAAGAUAUAAACUAUAACCACUGGAAGAAACUGGGUGAGGUGUUAUCAGGACCUCACUAUAUUAUCAUUGUAACUUUCUGGAAAUCUAUAAUUAUUUUAAAAACUGUUUAAUACUUUGCAAUGAUGAAAAAGUUCUGGAAAUAGAUAAUGGUGAUGAUUGCACAACAUUGUGAGUGUACUUAAUGUCAGAUUUGUAUACUUAAAAUGGUUAAAGUGGUAACUUUUAUGUAAUGUAUAUUUUUCUACAUUUUAAAAAAUGACUCUUCCUGAUAUUAUCAAAUUAAAUCUCUUAGAAAAUAUGAAAAUGAUCUUGGUCAAAGACAACAAAUGCUAUGAGACUGCUGAUCAUGGAAGAUUGAUUCACUUGCCCUGUACAUUUCAUUCUUUCAGCAUUUAACAUUUUAAAUGGAUUCAUUUUUUAGAUUAAAAAAAUCAAAAAGUAAACAUUCCCAUUCACCUCUCUUCUCCUCCUUAAAGAUGUUUGGUGCCAUCUGGUGAUAAGGUAAAAAGAUUGGGUUUCCAGAGGGAUUAGUAUAGGCUGCUUAAAGUAGUAAGUUAGCAGAGAGGUUUUUAACUUGCAGUGACAAAUGGCUUUGGGCUAUGAUCAAGUUCUACAAAUAGAUUAAGCCCUUUUUCUUCUUAGAAAUAAAACUGGCCUGUCAAGUCCUAAAAAUAGGUUGCUAAUCACCUGGCCUAUUUUCUCACUGAUUUUAUUUUUUAUUUUUUCUCUUGGCCAGAACUCAGUAAUUCUUACCUAAUUAAGAAAUUAAGUGUAAAAUUCUUUAAUAGGAGCUAUUUCCUUAUAAAUUGUCUCCUUUAAUGUGUUUAUAGUUUCUUAUAUCAAAAAGUACAACUGCAGAAGGAAAUAAAAUAUCUAAGCAAACCCAG